rnacentral:lncRNA from 1 species
GGAUACGCUCUAGAAACAGCAGCUUUCACACUAAAUAGGGUACCAUCUAAAUCCGUAGUUAAGACACCAUAUGAGAUAUGGACUGGAAAGGUUCCUAGUCUGUCUUUUCUAAAGAUUUGGGGAUGUGAAGUGUUUGUCAAGCGACUUCAGUCGGACAAGAUCACACCCAAGUCGGAUAAGUGCAUUUUCGUGGGAUAUCCAAAGGAAACUUUGGGAUAUUAUUUCUACAACCGAUCAGAAGGCAAAGUGUUUGUCGCUCGGAACGGGGUUUUCCUAGAGAAAGAGUUUCUCAAAGGAGAAAAGAGUGGAAAGACAGUGCAUCUUGAAGAAGUUCAAGAUGAGCCAAUUGGGCAAGAAUCAAUGAGUGAUGCUAACGUAGCAGAACAAGUUGAGAUACCCAUGGCAAGAGAAGCACCGCCACAACCACGAAGGUCGGCAAGGCUCCGCGAAAUGCGGGAAAUAUUAUUGUUGGACAAUGAUGAGCCUGCGACAUAUGCAGAAGCAAUGAUGGACCCAGACUCCGAAAAAUGGCAGAGUGCCAUGCAAUUCGAAAUAGAGUCCAUGGGAGACAAUCAAGUUUGGAACUUGGUUGACCCGCCUGAUGGUGUUAAAGCCAUAGAGUGCAAGUGGAUCUAUAAGAAGAAAAAGGACAUGGAUGGAAAUGUUCACAUCUAUAAAGCACGACUUGUCGCAAAAGGUUUUCGACAAAUUCAAGGAGUUGACUACGACGAGACCUUCUCGCCCGUAGUGAUGCUUAAGUCCAUUCGGAUUAUUCUAGCUAUAGCUGCAUAUUUCGAUUAUGAGAUAUGGCAGUUGGAUGUCAAGACAGCUUUCCUGAAUGGAAACCUAGCUGAGGACGUGUAUAUGAUACAGCCCGAGGGUUUUGUCGAUCCGAAAAAUGCUGGAAAGGUAUGCAAGCUUCAGAGAUCCAUUUAUGGAUUGAAGCAAGCAUCUAGGAGUUGGAACAUUCGUUUUGAUGAAGUGGUCAAAGGGUUUGACUUCACCAAGAAUGAAGAAGAGUCUUGUGUUUACAAGAAGGUUAGUGGGAGCUCUGUAGUAUUUCUAAUCUUAUAUGUGGAUGACAUAUUACUGAUUGGAAAUAACAUUCCUAUGCUUGAGUCCGUAAAGACUUCACUGAAAAAUAGUUUUUCGAUGAAGGACUUAGGGGAAGCGGCAUAUAUUCUGGGCAUUAAGAUCUAUAGAGAUAGAUCGAGAAGGCUUAUAGGUUUGAGCCAAGAUACUUAUAUUGACAAAGUGUUGAAGCGGUUCAGCAUGGAAGAGGCAAAGAAAGGGUUCUUGCCUAUGUCACAUGGCAUACAUCUCAGCAAGACUCAGUGUCCUUCGACUGCUGAUGAGCGGGAUCGCAUGAGUAGAGUGCCAUAUGCCUCGGCUAUUGGAUCUAUCAUGUAUGCAAUGAUAAGUACUCGCCCAGAUGUUUCAUAUGCGCUAAGCAUGACAAGCAGACACCAAUCUGAUCCAGGUGAGAGUCACUGGACAGCGGUGAAAAACAUUCUUAAGUACUUGAGAAGGACUAAAGAUAUGUUCCUCGUCUAUGGAGGUCAGGAGGAGCUCGUUGUAACAGGUUACACCGAUGCUAGUUUCCAAACCGACAGAGAUGAUUCAAAGUCACAAUCAGGAUUUGUGUUCACGCUAAAUGGUGGUGCUGUUAGUUGGAAGAGUUCCAAGCAGGAGACGGUGGCCGAUUCUACGACAGAAGCCGAGUACAUCGCGGCUUCAGAAGCCGCGAAGGAAGGUGUUUGGAUAAGGAAUUUCCUCAUUGAGCGUGGACGCCAAACAAAGCCAUGUGUGGCGUGGAGGAGCCAAGUGUUUUAGUGGGGCAAGAUGUUAAGCAAAUGUGUGGCAGUAUGCAGCGAUUCAACCCAAUAAGAAGGGGACAUACUAGCCUGAAAUAGGAGGGAGCGAACAACAUUGUUGAUGCGCCGAAUCAUGCGCUUGACCCGGCCGUUCUGGGACGAGGUGUACGGGCAGGACAUGCGCAGGUGGACGCUGUGAGUGAGGAAGAAAGUGUAGGUACUAGAGUUUUCAAACUCGCGGCCAUUGUCGCACUGAACAGCUUUAACAGUGGCACCAAACUGAGUACACACAUAGGAGAAAAAGUUAGUCAAAGUCGCAAAUGUGUCGGAUUUUAGGCAUAAUGGAAAUGUCCACAAGUAACGAGAGCAGUCAUCAAGAAUGAGAAAAUAGUAUUUGUAUCCAGAGACACUAAGAAUAGGAGACGUCCACAAAUCACAGUGUAUGAGAUCAAAAUUGCUAGACUCUCGAGAUGAUGAUGACUGAAAAGGGAGACGAGUAUGAUGCCCUAACUAGCACGCAUGAUAAAUGGGGCUGACUUCUUUAUUUCAAAAAGGAACUAUUGAAGCGACUUUGGACAAAACUUCAUGACCAGGAUGACCAAGACGGCGAUGCCACUCCGAUAGGGUGGAGACGGCAGCGAGGGCAUGAGCAGUAGGAAGGCGCAAGGGGUACAGUGGCCCAGAGCUAUUGCACCUGACAAUCAGCCUCCGAGACUCCAGAUCCUUCACAAAAUAGCCAGCGGGAUCAAAUUUGAUAGAACAAUUGUUAUCAGAGGUGAACUGGCAAAUAGAAAUAAGAUUCUAAUAAGCUUAGGUGAAACUAGAACGUUAGUAAGAGAUAAAGGACUCGGAAGGUGUGAUGUGCCAGUAGCCAUGAUGGGAAGCAAGGAGCCAUCACCGACAACAAUGGAUGAAGGAAAAGGAUUGUUGGAGGUAUGCCCUAGAGGCAAUCAUAGAGAUGAUGAUAUUCCAUUUGUAUCCAUGAUUUGUAUAUUGUGUUCAUUGAAUAUCCAUUAAAGGCUACUUGAAUUGAUUUGCAAUUAUGUGAAUUGUAUGUGAAACUCUUUACUUGUAUGGUUAUUCUAAAGUUGUUUCUAGUCGGAGUUCAUGUGAGGACACACAUGAAUAUUAGACUAGCACAUGUAUUAGUUGAUGACUAUGUUUCACAAGUCAUGGACAUGGAGAUGUUGAACUAAUAAUGUGGACACAUGUGGAGACAUGUGUUAGGACUGACCCAACACGAGAAGUAGUUCUCUCUUUAAACAACAUAUACGCUUUGUCCUUAGACCUGAGAUUGUCGCAUGUAUUCUAGAUGUGGAUCGACCUACUUAGGGGCUAUCAAACGCUACGCCGUAACAGGGUAGUUAUAAAGGUAGUUUUCGGGUUUGUCAAGAAGCAUGCUAUGAGACAUGGUCAAUCAAGAUGGGAUUUGCCCCUCUCUGAUUGAGAGUGAUAUCUCUGGGCCCCUCGAGUGAUCGGAUCCGAAAAUGCAUGGCCAUGCUACGUACGGUUAAGAGUUAACCUACAAAGGGAUUCCGAAUCACAGGAUCGAGAAAGAGCGGUCGGCUUGAAGCUAGACCAAAUAUCGUGAGGCAAAGGGAAUAGCAUGUAUAUUAUGUUGUGAUGGUUCGUCUGAUAUGAUCUUCGUGUGCGUAUAGAAGUUGGCACGUCUUGCUAGAGGCCGCUACCGACUAUUGGGCCGAGUAGGAGUACUCGGGCCAUGUCUAUACGUAUCCGAACCCAUAGGGUCACACACUUAAGGGGCUGGAAGCCCAAUUCGGAUCUGAUCCGAGUUGGAUUAGGUUUAGGAGUACUAAUGGGCCUCGGAUCCAGAGGCCCAUCAGGAACCUCUAUAAAUAGAGGGGUGGGGGCGCCCUAGGGUUUACACCUUUUGGCUGAACACACUUGCCGCGCCUCCCACGCCCUCGCCUGUUGCAACUCGCGGAUCUAGCAAUCCUGCUUGCGACGCUUCCUCCCUGCACGUGUGGAUACCUUGGAGGUGUUGCGCCUGCAGCACUUGGACGAGCCGCCGACGAGCCGCCGACGAGCCACGACGAGCCGACGACGAGCCGCGGUACCGGAGGCGAUCUUGCUGUGCACGUGGACGAGCUGCUGAGGAGCUGCUGCACGUGAUCGACUACGUACGACUACGUGAUCGUCUUCACUGCACCGACGCAUAUCUACAUCUUCCGCACCAGUAGUGCGUCGAGUGGUAAUCCCGUGAUCCUUAUACGGCAGUUCUUCCUGGUUAUACGCGGUAGAAAAUUUUGAUUUGCGCUAGUGUAGCCUACCUUUUAUCCCAACAAGGAUACCACGGGUAAGACGAAUAUGAAAGAGUACCAGCAUCUGAAGUCAUGUGGGAGGUGGCACCUGAGUUGAGACACCAAUCGUUUGCCUGCGGCUGGUUGAGCGUCAUGGUGCUGAACGUCGAGGCGAGGGAUUGCUGAUCCCAUGAGCAAGGCAGACCCGUCAUGGGGUUGUGAAAACCCGGAGGGACCUAUGGCGCUUGCUGGCCCAUGAGCGACGCCUGGAGGCUGUGCUAUUGUGCCUGCUGCUGGGCGUACAGGGCCUGCUGCUGAGCGAGGAAGGCCUACUACUGUGCCAAAAGAGCCUGAUGGGGAGGCGCGGCGGGCCGGAGGGGAGCGUUGGGCUGCUGCCGCGGACCCGGGUACAUCUGGAUUGUACCUGUCCACGGGUUCCAAAAGGAGGGAUAGGGACCAUCGGCCUCCUGUGCCGCGCCUGGAGCAGGAGCCUGGGUGUUGGAGUUGUGGCCGACAAGGGCCUUGCUGCCAUCACCCUGGCGCGGCUGGCCACCGCGCUUGCCCCUCUUCUGCUUGGAGGACAUGCUGCUGGAGGACCCGGAGUUCCCUCCCUUGCCGCCCCCUUCACCACCCCCGAAGUUGUUGCUGGACCGACUAGGGGGCACGAGGAGGAGGGAAGUUCGAGGCCAAUGCCGGUGAGGAGCGCCGUAGAUGGAGUCGAAGAAGGGUUCGCCAUCAUGAGCUCCUCAAGGAGCAAGUCAUCGCGAACCUCCAGGAAGGUGCGGAGAGGGCGGUUGUGCCUAAUGUCGUGGCCAACGGCGGCGAACUUCUCGUUGAGCCUGCGGAUGAUGUUGAGGACAAGGGUGCGGUCAGAGACCUGCUCGCCAAGAUCAUCGAGGGUAUCCGUCCUGCCCUUGAAGCACAUGUAGUAAUCCGUGAUGGACAGAUCGUCCUGGACGAAGUUCCGAAACUGGGCAUCAAGGUAGAGGGCCCGUGUCUUCCGGUUGCCGAGAAACUGGGUCUCGAUGGCAAGCUAGGUGGCACGUGGCGCCGCGCUUGCCGCGCUCCAUGACGAUGUCGAUGAGGUCAUUGGCGAUGGUGCCGUAGAGCAAUGUACAAAAUUGCGGGCUAUGAUAGUUAGCGGAGGUGCUGAUAAAACGCUAAGAGCUGCUAUAGCGUGCUUUAGGGUCCGCUAAUCCAAUUAGCGGAUUAAUUAAGAAAAGGAAAAAAGUUAACAACUACAACAAAUACGAAGGCCCAAAUGAGAAAUAGAUGGCCCAAAAUCCUUCCCUGCCGACUGAGAUGCGCAAGCCCACGUGAACUUCCCCACGUCCACAUCCCCUUCCUCCUUACCUACCUGUCUUAUCCUAAUCCCAUGGCGCUUGCCGCUGGCAGCUCCCCUCCAUUCUGGCUGCCGCUGCUCCUUCCUCACUCCACAGCCUCGUACUCCCCGGUCGCUGCUCCCUCCCCAGCUCACGCUCUCCUACUACCGGCCUGCUGCUCCCUCCCCACCUCGCGUUCUCCUACUGCCAGCUUGUACCUGUACCAACACCCAAGGGACCUCCAAUGGUUUGAGACUUUUGAGCACUUGCUUGCUGUAGCAGACCAUCCCGAGGUUCUAUGAGCUAUGGCCAAACGAUGACGCACAGGGUUAGAGGUGGUGGCACGAGCAGAGCUGGCGGCUAGAGAGGACCUCAGGUGGCCGCAAGCAUGGUGGAGAGAUACCAGAUUCAGGCAUAGCGACGCUAAAUGACGUUAGUCGCUAAGUAGUUUAGCGUCGCUAAUUCCCGCUUUAGCUGCUAUGGCAGCAAUAGCGCUAUAAAGUGACUUAUCCUAGCGGCAUGGUCGCCCAACUGCUAUAGCGGCACGAAAGCGGCACUAUAGCCCGCUAUUCCGUACAUUGCCGUAGAGCCAAGAUCGGAUGACGCAGUCCAUGCGUCCCAAAUCUAGAGAGGCCAGAGCGGGCACGUCGCGAAGAACAUGGUCUUGCAGGGAGUACUUGCCGACGGUGAGGAGGAAUUUCUCACGCCACCAUGUGUAGUUGCCGGAGGUGAUGUCGAGGACGACGGGGAUGAGACUCUGGAUAUUCUGCACACGUGCAGAUUUAAGACGGCAACAGCUUCGUGCAGCAGCAUGGCCUGGUGGGUGUCGUUGGGCGCCUGAUCGGAGACGGCAGAGGCGUCGUCGACAACGUCCUCCUCCUUAGAGUCGGGCAGGGCGCCCUUGCGCUCCUCGGCGACGCGCACCAAGGCGUCGUGGAGGCGAGCAGCAACGACACCAUGCUCCUACGCAGCGGCGGCGGCCUCUUCCUCAGCCUUGAUGGCACGAGCGAGGGCGGCUGCGCGUGCCUCCUUGCGAGCCGCGCGCUCGUCGGCGGCGCGCUUGGCUGCCUCGGCCUCCGCGGCAUCGCGCUUGGCGUUGGCGGAGGUCUCAGCGGCGAUGGGCAGGGAGCCGGCCAUGGGAUGCAGCAACGUUGGAGGGCCGGUGCCGGGGGGUGGUGGUCGUAGCGCGAGGGACGCGCACGGUAGCAGCGCAGGCGGGGGGCGCGCUGGGCAGAGGCGCAUAAGAAACUACGUGCAAAGAGCUGCGUUGGUGGCGGUGCGCUAGGUUGUGGAACCAAGAACGGGAGGAACCGGACUCGUGAUACCAUGAGAGCAAUGAGGUUGUGUGGAAUAAUAGAUUGAUUAGGGUAUACAAGGUGUACAAAUAUAUAGGCAGCCUUGGGAGUGGUUUAUAGAAUCAUAACCGAUCAAGGGAUAACCUGCCUAUCCUAAUCCAUCUAGCCACGGCAGGGAGCCGGCCUGAGCCUUGGCGUGAUGCACACCAGGCCCACACAUGCACAUAGCACAUACAUAUGUAACAAAAGCAAUUUCAAUUUCAAAUUUGCAGUUAACCUUUUCCCCAGUAGCAAAUGUGAAAAAACUAAAGCAAACUAAUGACAAUAAGCAAACCAUCUGUAUCUAUGUAUACUUAGUAUCCAGGCUACUAAGUUAUGUGUUUGUGCACAUCUAUGAAGUAUGAACCACGAGUUCGAGUUCCCCUGGUUGCAUACAUUUUUAAUUACAUGCUAAAUGUUACCUAAAAGUUAAGCUCCAAUUUAAUCUCGAGAAUAUUAUAAAUCUUUAGUACAGCAGGCAAAAUAAGUCUGCUAAGAGGAAAACACAAGAUAAUUUACAAGAUAUGUGGGGGCAUCCAAAUUAUAAAUUAUAUGGUUUAAUUUGUCGUUUAAAUCUGUGCACCAGAUGUGCAUUAUAUCUUAAUGGGAUUUAUCAUAAUAUAAACGUAUUUAUUUUUAGUGGAGGGAGGAAACAGAUUCUGUAACAUAAAAACCGCACAAGGUAAUUGAGAUUUGCUUCUAUAUGGCAUUUAAAAUAUUAUUUAAUGUGUCAUUGACUCCAGAAUUAUAUUCUCUUAUACGAUCACCUGGAUUUGUACUGAAUAUAGAAUUUCAUAAUUAUUCAUUAUAUUAUAAUCCUUCAUACAGCAUUACUAAGUCACACCAUUUUCCAGUAUAAAUAUGGCUUCAUUCCACAUCUUCCACAGUACUGCACAAGAAAAACUUGCAACCAUGUCGUACAAUCUUGAAUGGGUCUGCCAGCCCAACAAUCCGUCGCACCCCAAGUGCCGUAAGACAUUGUUUUCACAUUUCGUUUAGUACUCGUACGCUUUUCUGUUCUAUUUUGAUAUACAUCACAGUGCCAAAUUGAAACUGUUACAUGUAUUAAUAUAUAUCCUCCGAAACAUGUGCAUCUGUAGGUGGGAAUAAGUUUUCCUGGCCUGAACUGGUGGGGAAGAAGGGCGCGGAAGCAAAAGCUGUGAUUCUGAAGGAGAAUCCUUAUAUCAGUUCUGUGGUUUAUGCUCCGCAAGAUGCCAUUGUAACUGAUAACUACUGCUGCAAUCGUGUUAGGCUCCUCAUGAAUUGUGAUGCUGGCUGCGACUAUGAAAAUGCUACAGUGUUCCAAGUCCCAAUAGUUGGGUGAUGAGCAAGUUACUUUGUUGGGGAUUGCAAAUGCAUAUGGAUGUAGCUGUGGGCGGUAUUUGCUAAGAGAAUAAGCUGUUGUCCCGACGGGCAAAAGCAUCAUCUAAAUAAAGCAUUCUCCAUUCUGCAAUUUUUAUGUCACUACUGCUGGUUUCACCUAUACCUUUUUAAUUACAACAUUUCUAUUCUAUACCUAAUAAGAGGUUUACCAAAAAUCUGGGAGCUACAAAAGGAGCUGAAGAGUUGGGUCAACAAUUAGAUGUUGUUAUUAUUUAGGAUGACAAAUGAGAUUGAAGCUAGCUAAGGUGCCAUCCAUUUCUGGCUUUUUCCCUAACCAAGGGCCACGGCGGCCAUAUCAUUUUCUUGGUCUCUUAUGGGAUGUUGUUGUAUAGGUUCUGGUUUUUUUUUUGAAAAAAAAUGCACUAUGAGGAAGAGGAACACCCCACUGUUUCUGUCAAGAACAGAUCAGAAUAUAAAUGUAAAUUAACUGGAAUAGUAUUAUACAAAAUCCUGGAUUGGUGGUUUCUGUGACUCUUUGUCUUGCAUAAACUUAAAAAAAUGACUAAUGUAUAGUAAUGAUAACUAUAAGUUUGAUUUGGUACAAUUAAUUAUAAAAUCAAAUAUGUGGUUACCUUUUUUCCAAUCGGAAAUGUAGAAACAAAAAGGAAACAAUGGAAAAUAUGCAAAAUGCCUUAUUUCAGUAUGCUUAUCUAUCCAAGCAAUUAAAUGUGCACACUAUUUCUUAAGAAAAAUUGAACAUAUAUGUACUGUGUAUAAAGAGUUUGAAUUAUGUUUUCUUUUAUUUUCUUUAUUCAUGCAUAUGAUUAAAUUUUGUGCCAAAUAAUUCUAAAUCUGUAGCAUACAAAUUGAUAUUGAGAAAAAUACAUAUAAAUUAUACUAAAAUGAGACAAGAGAAGAUAGUUGUUUUACAUACUAAAAUGUUAUCCAAUGAAAUCAUGCAUUAUUUUGAUCCACUCUCUGGAUAUCUCAAUGGAUUCAGUCUAUUUGUCUUGAAUAUUUUAUUUCUUUCCUUAAUUCAUAUAAAUUUGCAUAUGCUUCUAAUUAUGUGCUAAGUAUUGAAAAAACCACUGAUGUGGAAGUUAAUGCUGAUAAAAGAGCACAUUUUUUAUUUUAGAAAAAGGCUAAACAUUAACAUGUAAAAUAUAAUUAUUUUGAAUUUACAUGGCAUUCAAUUUUUAAUUAAUAAUGUAAUGUAUCAUUACACCUGUAUUAAUGGGAUUCAUUUUAUUUGUCGUGGAUCUUAUUUGCUUAAUUAGUUCGUUUGAAUCCUUUGUAGAAGGACCACUCUCACAAAUUUAAUUAUCACAAAAUUUUCAUGUUUCAUUUAAUAUUUAUGAAAAUUUUCAUUUCAUUUUGAUAUUAGAGUGCCAAAUUAAAUUUGUAGCAUUUUUUUUAAAACACCAAAACUGGUAAGAUGUCAUGGCCUGAGUUUUUGGGAAAGAAGGGCAAGGAAGCAAAAGCUGUGAUUCAGAAAGAGAAUCCUUAUAUUACUGCUGCGAUUUACACUCCUUAAGAUGCCAUUGUGGCAUUGUUACUGAUGAGUACUGCUGCAUUGCUGCAAUCACAUUGGGAUCUUUGUGAAUUGCAAGAGCUGCGACUAUAAAAAUGCUGCAGAGGUCCAUGUCCCUUAUUGGAGACUGCGUAUGCAUGAUCAUAUUUGUGACAAAAUAAAUUCUUGCCCAUGUCAUGCGAAAAGAUCACAUUAAUAAAGCAUUCUCCAUUUUCCUUCGCACUACUAGUGGUUUACCACCAAAAGAGCUCACCAAAAGUUGGGAAUAAUACAAAAGAACUGAAGAAUUCUGUUGGCAACUAGUAAAUGUUGCAUAUAUUUUUUUCUUGAGGAAUCUACUACUUACAUAUUAAUAAGAAUGUAUAGGAAAAAGAGGAGUACCUAAACUAGUAAAUAUUGUUGUUUAGAUAGAGAAAUGAGGUCACACACUUAGCUGACGCGUCGUCUAUUUCUAGCUACCCCGCCCUUGUGCCGAGAGCCAAAACGAGUUAUUCCUUGUGGACUGAAACUGGAUCAUGCUACUCUUGCUCCUUUGGGGGAUGCAAUUGUAGAUAUAGUGCUUAUGGACUUCUGUAAAAUUCCCUGUGAGGAACCCCUCUCUAUUUUCCAUAAAAAACGAAUUAAAAUCAAUUGAUUAAAUGUGCUUGACGAAUUAUAAACACUUGAAUAAAUGUACUUGUAGCACCGUGCCAUGCUUGACGAUGCAUUUUUGGUUCCCCCUCGUGAGCUCGUUUGCCUGCCAGUCUCGAGAAAGACAAAUGGUGACUCACUCCCAAUCUGCCGUAAGUUUAUGUUUUUUUCUGUUUUCAAUUUUCAACACUCGCCCUGUUUGGAAGGAGGGGCUAAAAUUUAGCCCUGAGCUAAAAUUUAGCCCCCUCAAAUAGAGUGCUAAACUUUAGCACUGUGAGGUGUUUAGGUAGGGGCUAAACUUUAGCACUUUGAUUGCCAAAAGACUUUUUUACCCUCAUCUAUCUCCUCUCCUCUACCCCUCCACAACUCCUUCCUUGUCAACUCCAAUUGAGCAAGCACGGCAGCCACAUCCUCCUCUCAUGCCCUCUCCUCCGCCUCCUGGAGCUGCGCAUGGAGCGCCGCGGCCGGGGCUCCGUGGGGUCCGUGAGCCACGCUAGCGGAUGAGCCGCGGGGUUGACCGCGGAGGGGAGCCCGCAACGCCGGCGCGGAGGGGACGUCGUGGCGGGAGGCUUGCGGGGCAGAGGCAGUAGCUCGUCGGAGCGGAGGCGGUGGCGGGGCCGGUCGGGCUCGGAUCCGGCCGCGGCGGUGGUGCCCCUCACGGGGAGAGAGAGUGAGGGGAGAAGGCGGCAGGACCGGCGGGCGAGGCGGAGGCAGCGGGGUGCCGUGCGGCGAGAUCUGGCGGGGAGGAAUGAGAGGGAGGAGAGAGGGGCAAGGGGAGGAAUUUUGGAUAAGGGCACCCUUUAGUCCAUUUUAGCACCCCUUGGAGGGGCUAAUGGAUUGGGGGGCGGGCUAAAGUUUAGCCCUCCUGUUUGGCACGGAGAGGCUAAAAUCUAGCUAAAAUGGGGGGCUAAAGUUUAGCCUGCUAAAAUCUAGCUAAAAUGGGGGGCUAAAGUUUAGCCUGCUAAAAUCUAGCUAAAAUGGGGGCUAAAGUUUAGCCCCCCUCCCAAACACCCUUUUCCUGUACUACUCUACUGGAGAAUAUAUAGCUCCUAAAAUUUCUAAAAUGUUUAAAUACUAAUUAGGAGUAUUAAAUAUAGAUUAAUUAUAAAAUCAAUUGCACAGAUGGAGACUGAUUAGCGAGACGAAUCUAUUAAGCCUAAUUAGUCAAUGAUUUGUAAUGUGAUGCUACAGUAAACAUGUGAUAAUAAUGGAUUAAUUAGGCUUAAUAGAUUCGUCUCACGAAUUAGCCUCCAUCUAUGUAAUUAGUUAAUUAACUCAUAUUCAGUCCUCUUAAUUAGCAUCCGAAUAUUCAAUGGGACAUGAAAUUUAGGUUGGACUAAAGUCCAAACACCCGUAUAAAUGAUUCUGCAGACUGCGGGUCUGAAGAAUCCAUUCAGUUUUGGACAGUGCUAUAUGUGUUAAAGAUCAAACACCCCUAUAAUGUAUAAAUGAUUCUGUAGACUGCGGGUCCGAAGAAUCCAUUCAGUUUUGGACAGUGCUACAUGUGUUACGAGAAAUCAUCCUGAGAAUCGUAGAACAAUCCUGCUCCUCUAUCAAACGUAGAACAAGAUACAGCAUAACAGCACCGUCGAAUUAUUAUAUCUUAAUUAUUAUUUCCCAGCUUCUCUCUGGCUCUCUGGUUCCUCAUACAUGAACUUUUUUUUGAAACGACUCAUACAUGAACUCAACUACAGAUUAGUAUAGCCCCUCUGCUCGAUUCGGCAGAUCGAUCCCGACGGCAAACCGGACGCGUCAGUUGCCGCCGACGCCGAGGAGCGCGUCGACCUUGUCCUUGAGGUGCGCCUCCUCGUCCCCGAGCCGGGCGGCGGCGCCGCCGUUCUCCCACCGGAUCAGCGUCGGGACGCCCUUGAUCCCGAACUUGGGGUCCUCCCUCCAGGGGUGCGCCGGGUCGCGCCACGUGGGCUUGUCCCCGACGUAGGCGCGCAGGAGCACCGCGUCCCUGCCCUGCAGGGCCUCCAGCCGCUCGUAGAUCACCGGCUCCGCCACGUUGCAGUCUGCGCGGCGGCCGGCGAACGGCGGUGAGUAACGUAGGCAACGAGGCUACUGCUAGGGGAGAGGAAUUUUACAGGUGAGGGGGUUCCUCUUACCGGGGCACCAGGUGAGGGAGGAGCCGGGCUCGCGGUCCGCCAGGAAGAGCAGCAGCUUCAGCUUGCCGUCGGAGGCCGCGGCGGGGGAGGCGAUGAGGCGGUCGAAGUGGGCGCUGAAGUCGGCCAGCGUCGCGUCUACCUUCAGCACCGUCAUCUCGCCGCGCCGCCUUUUCGGCUUGUCGAGCAGAUUUGGAGCAGCAAGAGCGAGUUGGGGAGGCACGGCAGGCAGAUUAGGAGAAGGAAGAAGACGGCCGCCGAAUUUUAUCUCCUCCGUUGCCUACGGGAGCGCGUGCCCGUGAUUCCUCUCCCGGUCUUUUCUCACGCUGCCGGGUGGGCCCCUCUCCUCCCUCCGCGUGUCUCGUACGCGAGCCGGAUUCGUGGGUGAUUUGGGCCAGCCCGAUGGGCUGAAGCAGCCAAGAGCUACGCGAGCCCAACCCGUACAGCACAAGUUUCCCGUGCGCACUGCGCCCCCCGAGUCCACCACGGAGUCCAUCCAUCAUCUCGUCGUUCGCUCUCGUCGUGGUCUCGCCGGCUCCGGUGAUCUGCCCGCCGUGCCGCCCCGCGGCCGCCGCGAUGCACGACCCGUCGGAGAUCCGCAACCUCCCCAUCGACAUCGCCUUCGCCCGCCUCCAGGAGUGGCUCGUCGACCGCAAGCGGGUGCCGCAGGACUGGCGGAAGCGCCUCGCCGGCAUCCGCGCCAGGAUCGCCGCGGCCUUCCCGUCCCUUCCCCGGGACCUACACCCCUCGCUCCUCGGCCUCGAGCCCGAAGGUAACCGAAUUUACUCUGCCUGACCGGCGGCGGCCGUCAGCGUAGCGAUUCGGCGGAUUCGAUUCAUCGCGCUUUUAAACCCUCGCCCAAUCCCCACAGCUACGCUAGCUCAGCUUGAUUCGCGAGUUUCUCUUUGUGUGGGAUGUAAUUGUUUGCCUGUCCUUCCUUUUCCUUGUUUAGAAAUUGGGUAUCUUGAAGCGAAGAAGAUAUACAGCAUCCUGCUGGACUCCAACACGGAGAGCCGCAACAUAUUUGGCCGCCUGACGGGAUCCGCGGUAAGCAUUUGCUUGUUUUAUCUUAUGUUAGUUACAUGAGGCAAUUAUACUUUCAUGUGCGGCCGGAAAAUGGCAUAUGCUUUGAUACAAUUUCUAUGUAUAGGGUGAAUGGGAAUCCGUCGUGAAAGCUUAUGAGAAGGACCAUGUCUUCCUCGGAGAGGCGGCACAGAUCAUGGUUCAGAAUGUGAACUAUGACAUGUACGGUCUAUCUUUUUCCUUGUUCUUUGUUUGGCUACUAGUAAUGCCUGAUUCCACCUUGGCCACAGCUAAAUUUUUUACUUGCUCCUUUUUCUGCCCCAAGUCCAUAUCAGAGAAAGCAGAUGCAGAAGACUCAGCAGCAGCUUGCUGAGCUCGAUCGAAAGGAAGCGGACAUUAAGCGGCUCGCAGCUUUGUCAGCUACUAGAUAUGUGGAGGCUUGCCAAGAGCUUGGUUUGCAGGUCAGUUUCUCUUUCUGACUAGCACUGGGUGGGCUAUGCCUUUCUGAUAAGUUGCUCACUAAAUCAUACUGUCAUCCGCAGGGAGUAAAUGUCCGGGAAGAACUAAUAGAGUCUGCAAAGACACUUCCAUCUACAUUUAGCAAAAUCUUGGAAGUGCUGAACAGUGACCCUGUCUCAAAGGCCAUGGAGCACUACACAGCUUUUGUUAGAGACUGCCAUUCUGAGGACAAGGUAGACUCAGGACUAUGUAGAACAUAUCAGUUAUUCAAUACAAAAAAAAAAUUGCUGCUAGAAACUUUGUGAUUAAUGUUAACCAUUUUCUUCUGAACCUCAGGGAAGUUGUGACUCUGUGCUGCUGCGCAAUCUGAAAAGCCUGCAGGAAAAUCCUCCUCCUCUCCAUGUCUCAGUAUAUACUGAGGUCAAAAGUUCUAUUGGAGAGGCAUUGAAAUCUCAUCGGUCUAUAGAGCAGAUUGACUCAAAUAUUCCUGCGGAGGAUAUUGAUUGGGAGAUUUCUGUGGAUGCUAAUGAAAUUGACUGGGAUAUUGGUGCUGUUGAACAACCAGUUGAAGAAGCUGGUAAUGGUUUUGGAUCAUAUGAAAUCAUUGAUGCUAAUAUAGAGCUGGCAGGUUCUGAAAAUUAUGACGUUAGUGCCUCGGACAAUCCAUCUUUGAACAAAGAGGGUCUUGCAUCAUCUGAGUCUGGGAUUUGCUGGGACAUCACUGCUGAUAAUUCUGAAGAAAGUGUGCAUGAUAAUGCCAAUAUUCAGAAUGCUCCAAUGGUCGCUGAAGAUAGAAGUCGUUUGCUGGAGAAGGAAUACAGGAAUGAUAUUCUAGAUGAUUUACUUGAGGUGUGUUUUGACCAUUGUUUGGACCCGUCUUGUUUUGAAGUUUUUUCUUGGCUGUAAUGAAUACUGAUGUAGUAUUAUAGUGCUGUUGUCUUUUAGAAAUUCAGUAGAUGACAAGUGUUCUUGGUGUAUGAGCUUGUUUUUCCCAUGCAUCCCCUUUAGCAUAGUGCUGUAGCUCAUUAAUUCUUAAUAACUGAAACAGGUAAAAUCAUUUUUGACUCAACGCCUAGGGGAGAUGAGGAAUGGUGAGACAUCAUCUCUACAGCAUCAAGUGCAAGCUGUCUCACCUUUUGUUCUCCAGCAGUAUGCUCCUGAUAGUUUGGAGAAUAUGCUUGUAGAGGUCUCUUCAGCAAUCUCAUUGCUCACUAACCAGAAGACUCUUGACCUUAUAAUGAUCCUAAACUCUAAAAGGUAAAAGAUUAUGUAGCUUCACACUCGCUUAUGUCUUUCGUUACUUCUAGUCUACUACAGUGGUGAUUUCUUGGUGUAUUUUUAAAGACUUGCAUGGUACAGCUGUUUUUCCACCGUAAGUGCAUGAUGUUUUACAUUUUCUUUAACUGAAUUUUCGUUUCUUUCCUCUUCACAAGGUUUCUAGACAGACUAGUUUCUACUUUAGAAGAGAAGAAGCAUCAUGAGGUAAAAUUACGGGAAGGUUUAGGUGAUUUAUCUGUUAAGCGCAUGGAGCUGCAGAAUGCACUGUCAUCAUCAUGGCCGAAGCAAGUAAGUGGUUUCUUUCCUUGGAUUAAUUAACUAGAGCACAAUGCUUGUUCGGUGCUUGCUGAGACACACUGUAAAAAUGUUGUUUAUCUGAUGGACAAGACACUGUUCAUUUGCUGGUGGAUGAUGGAAAAGACCACUUCUGAAUUUUCACAUUGUUUGUUGUUCCAUUUGGCCAAAUAUCUUUCCAAUGUGCCCCCAGUAAUCGCUGACCAAGUACCGUGUCCAGAAACCAGUUUCACUUUUUCCACAUACUUUUAUUCUGAGCAUAUUAAAAAAAUCAUGAAGUAGCACAUAAUAUUUGAUCUAGGUAAAAUCUGUGACCUAAAUUUAAAAGGAAACAACAUUGUAGUGUUGUAAAAAUAUGUAUUCUUAUAUUUCAUAUUUGCUCAUGAUAGGCUGUGCAAAUCAGUAUUGUCUGUCCAUUUUGUGCUAAAAAUGAACCAAAACACUAAUAGAUCUCCUUGUGCUUUACAUAGCCAACAAGUGUAUGUUAAUUUGCUUAAGGUGGAGCCUGCUAGUUAUCUGCCUUUCUAUAUAUUUUACAGGAGGCCGCAAUUACAAAAACAAGAGAACUAAAGAAGCUGUGCGAGGCAACGCUAUCAUCUGUUUUUGAUGGCAGGCCGGUGCAUAUAAUUGGAGAGAUCAAUACUUUACUGAGUUCAAGUGUUAGUCAAUUAGCUGGGUGACUGUAUUUUCUGUUCUGGAUCAAAUAAGAUUGAGAUCUUAAGGUUAUUAGCUGAUGGUAUAUACUCCAGAAAUUUAGAUUUCCUGCUCAUGUUGCUUGCUGCUCGAUAUUUUCUGAAAAUGCAUAUGUAUGAGUUUGACUUAAAUUAUCAGAUUCAUCAUAGGAUACAAUUGAGCGGUGAAGAAAAUAAUGUACGGUUACCGAAGGUUUCAUUUCUCAACGAACAAUGUUUCAAUCAAUGUUUUAUAAAAGUUCACUGCACCUUGGUUAUCUUGUGCUUCUUUUUUUUUAUACAGGGCCAGUUGGAAAGCAGAACUGGCCAAUUUUACUAUUACUAAACACCCUGUCCUAUCUGUUUCUAUAAAACGUCCAGUUACAAGGCUUAACUUGAUGAUUUUUGCAGCCUUAAGUUUAAUAAUUCGAAUUGUUGCUGUUCCUCAGUGAUAUGUAUCUGUUAUGUGCAACAUAUAAUAUGGCUUAUGAUGCAAAAGGAGAUUAUGUGAUCAAGAUGAGUAUUCUUUUUAAGUUUCGACUCUCAGAAUAGCAUAGUGGACUGCAGAGGAUCACAAUAUAUCCAUUGUUUUAGUAUUACUGUAGAAAUAGUUGCAUGCUCAGUGAAACUGCAAUCCAAUCACCUAUGUCAUCUUGACUUAACGAGAACUACUUAUACAGCUGGAAGCUGGAUAGACAACAAAAUGUGGAUGUUACACUGAUGAUGUUGCUCCAUAGAAAAACAUUAGACAUGCACGAUACAAAAUUUAUUUAUGAAGGAAAUGCUGGAACCAUUUGCUGGAAUGCUUUGGAUAUCUUUUCAAACCAUCCUUGUAGUCGAUGUAAUUAAUACCAAAUCUCACAGUAUAACCAUCCAUCCACUCAAAAUUGUCAAAUAGCGACCAUGCAAAAUAUCCUCGUACAUCAACUCCUUCCCUGCCAUGUCAUAAUAGUACUUUUAAUGUUGGUACAUAUACUUAAAUUGUAUCGUAAGUUAAAUUCAGUGAUCAGCAACUGAUCUAUGCAUCUACUAGUAAUCAUGCACCAAACUUACUUGAGGGCUCUUUGAAUGUGGAAUAGGUGUUGCCGGUAGAAUUCUAUUCUGGUAUUGUCAACUAAGGCUUCUUGAAGUGGUAGGUUUUCAUUGUUAAUUUCAUCAACACCUGCAUCAUGAUUAAACUUAUCAGUUAAUAGCUCUGGUUUCCUGGAAGCUGUCAUAAAAUGCAGUUAGGCUGUUGUACCAUUUUCUGUGAUGUAGAUUGUAGGAUUGUUGUAUGUCUUCUUGGUGUAUAGCAGGAGUUCUUCUAUGCCUUUUGGAUAGAUAUAGAGCCAAGGAGAUCCAGCCUGGAUACAAAUGUUUUGUUGUUUUCAUUCCAAAGCAUCAGUUUCUAGUUUUCUAUGUUAAAUGACUUGGUUUUCUAUAAAACGACCCUUUAUCAUCGACCCAGUUACACAACUAUAAAACAUGAUGCAUGAUAAUUUUUCUGUUUGAGAAAUGCAUACCUUUGGACCAAUAGCUGUCCCAUGUCUUUCAACUGUUGUUAAAGUAUAGGUAGAGAAAGCUCUUAGCUCACCCAAGUUAUUUAAGUCUGGAACGGAAACAAUGUCUUACUUGAUUACCUGUUUGAUUGGUCAGUGAAUCAGUAUUAUAGCUUUUGUUUCCAUUGUUACUGUAUUUGGUGUUCUGAGUGUAUCUUGCUGUAUAGUAGUUGAGGCCGAUGAAGUCGAAUGAUCCAUUUAUGGCCUUUGACUGUUCUUUCGUGAAUCUUGGUAAUCUGUUACCAACUAGUGUUCUCAUGCUGGGUGGGUAAUCUCCCUUUGUUAAAGGAUCCAUGAACCUGUUCAAAUUAUCACUGAAUUAUGUAAAUAGGUUUUAUGAGAAUCUUUGAGAUUUUGAUUUUAUGGAAACUUCAAGAAUGAAACCUGAAGUCUAUUUAGUACAGAAUUUAAUGAAGAAAAACUCACCAGCCAUACAUAAAUUCCAAUGCACGCUUGGCAGCGUCCUUGUCUUGCUUGGAAUUUGAGUAUGGAACCAUCCAAUUACUGACUAGAGUAAUUCCUAUUUUUCCUUUUUGCUUUACCUGCAUGAUUAUUGAUUAACGAUUAUCAUUGUAAGCGUAAACUACCAAGCUGGCUAAGUAUAUGAAAAUGAUUAAUUGAGUUUUAGUGUUUUCAGUGGCUAACUAUCUAAACAAGUUGAUUGAACCUCAGAAAUUCUCGUCUCUUGUCUGAGAAACCUUUGAUGUGCUAGCUUCGUUGUCCAUCAUUAAGUAGAACUCUAGAUUAAGGAGAUGCCUGGCACGACCAUCUCUAGUUUGUAGCAGCAGAUUGUGGCUUUAUGGCUCUCUAUAGUAUCUGCUGUCAUGUUCUGCUCUUGAAGACCAUUUAAGUGUGUAAAGGUCUUCAAUCAGAAUUAUAUGAUUCGUUACAAUACAAACACAUAUUCUUGGCAUGCCAGAAUGCAGUUUGUAAGAUAUUUGAUUUGUUUUUUGCUGAAGUAAUCACAAUUAGGAAACCUAAUCUGUACCUGGUAUUUGUCUCUGUACACCUGAACCGCUGCUGCAUGAGCAAGAAGCUGGUUAUGAGAUACGGUAUAAGGUUCCCUUCCAGAGUCUCCCAUGCUACAUCCUGAAUUUUCCCAAGAGGAGCAUCUGCCUGGUGCUAAUAUACCACUGGCAUAGCCAGCAAUACUGAAACUCCAAGGCUCAUUGAAUGUUAUCCAGUUCUUGACCCUGUCUCCAAACUCCCUAAAGCAGAUGUUGGCGUAGUCACGGAAGUCUUCCCUGGUAAUGAUAACUCAACAUAUUACAUGAUUAGUUUUCUUUGAUUUUAAUAGCACUCUUAUUAUUGAUCAUAGCAGAGAGUUUAGGCUAAUUCAACAUAUUAAGGCUUGAUUCUUAGUUUUCCUUUGAUUUCAAUAGCAUUCUUAUUAUUGAUCAUAGCAGACAGUUUAGGCUAACUCAAUAUAUUAAGGCAUGAUCCUAGUUUUCCUUUGAUUUCAAUAGCAUUCUUAUUAUUGAUCAUAGCAGACAGUUUAGGUUCCGGUGAGGACAAGUUACAGGAUCUGAUUGGUUGAGUUUACUUACACAAUGUGCUGGCUCAAGAAGCCACCAUACUGCUGUUCUAAUGCUUGUGGGGAAUCCCAAUGAAAAAGGGUCACAAAUGGUUCAACCCCUGCAUGUUGUUUAGACAUUAAGAUGCAAAAAGAUAUAAGACCUUUAACUAUUUAUAUUACGAGUAUUUUACCUUCUGAAAUUAGCUUGUUAAUGAGGUUGUUGUAGUAUUUUAUUCCUUCCAUGUUGACCCCUCCACUCAGUUUUCCAUCUGCAUCCAUGCCAUCAUCCAUCAUUGCAUCAACUAGAGGCUGGGAUCAAUCUAUGUUUUUAUUUAAUCUACAGAUCUCCUCUCUGUUAGAACUACGUUAGCGUUUGCUGCAUAUCAAAGUAAAAGUUUUCAAAUGUUUACAAUAGCAACAAUUCUAAGUGGUUGGCUGGGAUUUGUUCAAAGGCAGUUAUGUGCCUGCGGCUCAUCUGGGCUUUAUUUAAUCUCAAGAGCAGGAUUCUUUUUCCAUUUGUUGAGAAUAUGAACCUUGCGUGCAUGGGAAUAGGCUAGAUUCAUCACUUACUAGGCAGUAUUCUUGUCCAAGAAAUAGAAAACCUAUAGGCAUUAAAGCCUAUAUCUUUCAUGAUUUUGACAUCCUCCUGCAUUCAGUGAACGGCAUCUGAUAAAUGCUGGGAAAAUGAAAACUGAUGGGCAGAUAGGAUGGUCUUUAUUCCAUAAUACCUGAUAUCGAUGGUAGGAAUUGAUUGCUAUGUCUCCGUUGCUUCCAUCUGCUAUCUUCUCUGUUGACAAACUUUUGGGGCUUAGAACAUCGUAGCAUUCACUGGGCCGUAGUAGAUGUGAACAAACUGCUCUGUUCUCCGUUUAGGAUUUUUUGGUAGUUAGACGAAGCAUUGUUUUAGGAAUCAUUUCUUUCCUGCAUAGUUAACUGCCUCAUGUGCUGCAGUGAACUGAGUCUGGGCUCCUGACUUCUGAACAGAUAUCCAUGGAUUGGAUUAACUUUUGACCUUAAAAUAGACAGUUUUCCUAUGUGUUUGUUGUUGUUUGACAUAGACCAAUUGAAAGUGGUCAUUAAACUACUAGCUAUUGCAUUGUUUCAUUUGUCAGAUCCCCAUCAUUUUGUUUGCAACUUUUUGUUUCUAUGUGCUUUUGUCGUAGACCGGUGGACUGGUGGUCCUCACAGGCUCUGAUCUGUUUUUUUUCUAGGCUUAAUCAUAUGCCCUUCGCUUGAUUUAGCGCACACACAAUAUGGCAGGAAAGCACUUAAAACUCAUUACUAUUUAUGGAAACAGGCUGAUCAUGCUAUCAAGUUGGGUUACUUUAUAUAAUCUUCAGUUGAUUUUCAACAGAUUGUCUUCGCUUGUUUGUUCGGAAAUUGAGGGACAAGGUAUGUUCUUUUUUUCCCUUUACUUGGGUUUUAGGUGAUGAGCCUCAGUUUUUUAUGGUAUCUGUGGUUCAGCCUGUGAUUUAGUUGAGAGCCGGGAAGAUGGGAUGAAAAAAAGAAACUGUUGUGGAGGGUGUUAUUUAUCAGGCAUAUCAUUUGCAUGCUCUUCCUCCAAUGCACAGAUUCUAGUUUGAUACUACUAUUUUUCGGAUGACACUCCAACUGGAAGCAGUUAAAGUCAAGAUGUAGCUUAGUCCUGUCUCAGACUGGUAUGACCAUUUGCUCCCUAAAGUGAGACCCUGUUCAACAGGUUAUGCAUAGGCCAAAUGAUAGAUUGAUGAACACAUUUUCUUGAGAGUUGAGACGUUAACGAGAGUUUAAGGCAAAGAGGCAGGUAGAAUGCAUGAGCAGAGUUUUGGAACGUGCAGCAAAUGACCUGGGUGAGUGUGAGUGUAGGUGUCCCAGAUGCUUGGCCCUCUCCCGCCCUCCUUCACAGCUCCUUCAUACUGCACCAAGCAUCCAAGCUCUCGCAUGAAGAGCAAACCACCCACCACUUCUUCCAGUAGUCUUUAGAUGGUUCGAGAACUACUUACCUGGUAGGCCGAUGACGCUGUGCCGAAGAGGAAGCCCUUGGGGAACUGGCUCCUCGAGAUUUUUUCUGGGUUUGCGGUUGACCCUGCAAAGAAGAAUGGCAAGAGCAAGAGCAGAAGGGUUAGCCGUGGCAUGGAUGCCUUAGCUUUGCAGUGUAACUCUUGCUCUGUGUUCAUGUGUUCACCAGCCUGGGCACUCUAUUUAUAGGCUGGCUGGGUCUUGGGCGGCAGUUUGGUAGCAGAAAACCCCCGGAAAUCCACAUGCCUAGCUGUUUCAAGUCGUGCCAGUGAUACCACUGGGCGACCAGCGAAGACCUUGUCUUGUUGAUGCAUAAUUUAUGAGUGACCCUUGUCUUUCCGAGGCCAUUAGACAAAUGGCGCACAGCUGGCCUACUGUUUAGUGGUUCAGCUGUACUUCCAGGUGCUCGUCUGAUUGUGUGUUUAAGAGGCAAAAGUGUACUUUCAAGUAAGCCCAAAGAUGCACACAUACUACUCGAAGGGGAAAACUAUUGUUUGGGCUGUAAUCUAUCCUUGGAAUGCAUUGAUCAUAGAAAAUGCAAAGAUUUCCUGUGUUAGAAAAGGGUAAUAAGUACAGGACCCAUAGCCUUAUGGGGGUGAGGAAAGAAUCCAGCUUUGCCUUUUCGGAUGCUUUGACGCCUUUGUUUAACCUCCAAAAAUAGGCCAUGCAAGAGGUCAAGUGGGUUGUAUAUAAAAAAACAAGAAAAAUUUGUGUGGCAAAGCUUGGAGGAGAAUAAGGGGGGCCCAAUCUAAAAUAAAGUUUUGCCCCCUUAGAUAGCUAGAUUGGUAUUAGUGAGUAUUUAGUUACAAAAUCACUCAUUUCUUUAAUGAAUAUUCUAGGAAAAGAGGGUGCCCCUGGUGCACUUGAAACGAUAUUAUAAUGCUAAACAGUGCCUUGGGGGAAGCCUAGUCUCUUCUAUUCACGAAUUAGUGUGGACAGGGGUCGCUUUAGUUUAUAAUGCGAGGGCUUUGUAAUUGCUCAGCUUUAUUAUACCAGUUCAAUUAGGUCGUGGACUAAGUACUUUGCAAACAAAAUAGUACUAGCAUCAAGGCCUUGUUUCACCCUUGUUUCUAGGGUCCAGCCAAAGAAGCGUAGCUUCAGAACCAAACAAAAAGCAAGUCCAACAGUCUCCAAGGUUUAUGCACCAAUACAUUUGUUGCUUGAAGCUGUAUCUUUCUGUAGCAUUUACAGUGGUGGCACAUGGCAAAAAGGAUUCAUUUUUUUGUUCAUAUUCUAUAAUUUUCUUUUAGAUUUCGAAAGACAAAAGGAGCAUUUAAUUGAAAAUCUCCAGAGGUCAGAGCAAUAAACAUCUCAAUUCUCAACACAAAAUAGUCCUCAGUCUACCUAUUUGCAGUGAUAGUGACAUGAUGCCUCACAAACAACAUGCCCAAGCAUUAGAAUCCGCGAUGAGGGGGGCAGAAAGUGCGUGCCUCCAAUUGCAUCGCCAUCCACCAUGAUCUCCUUAUAAUCAUAAUAUACUCAAACCUAUCCAAACACCAGAACAGGUCAACGGAGCACGAAGCAUCCACUCUUCUGUUUUUUCCCCUAGACUAGGGCUACGGCACUAUGGCUUGCCGGGGUAGUGAGUCCAUCGCCAAGAAUACCACCGGCCAAGUUCCACGGUCCGGGUGGAUUCAGGGCCAUCGUACUUGCCAAAUCCGGCACGGUGCACUGCAUUCUGGACAAGUGGAACUUGAAAUGACAUUGCAAAGUUUUGUCUCCACUGGCCAAGUUCUAGAUUAUGGUCGAAACUUUAUGAAUUUUGAUGUGACUCAUGUGGUUACAAACAUUCAGACAUGUGCAAGAAUGGAGAGACACAAUCGGAGUGUUUGGUUUUUGGAACGGAUGAGUCGUAGAUCUGUCCGGUACCAUCCUAUGUUUGGAUGGGACAACACCACUCUUAUCUUACAUCAAGUACAUUUGCUUUCGAUGAGACAUUAUUGGUAAGUAUUAUGUUCCUGAUGAAUCCGAUGGUUUUGGACCAAUGUGUUCUACGCUUAAACCAAAUAAGCAGUCUAGGAUAGGAUGGUUUGUUGCGUCACAUUCCUCAAACAAUCAAAGAGUUAAGUGGAAAACACUAUCAUGGUGUCUGAGCCCUUCUUUCAUUGUUAUUGCACGACAAUGAUACCACUGAGUAGUGGUGGUGAAUUAGGUUGGUUGUGGGCUUGUAGCUAGCUAGCUUCACUGUUGAUUCAUUCAGAAGGGAGCCAAGUAUUUGUGCUAUUAUACUGCACACAACAGCCACAAAAUAAUUGUAAUGCCACAUUCUUUGACAACAUCAUCACUUCAGAAUCAUUAGCUCUCAAGAUGAUACGGAUUGCUAAUUCACCAACACCUGAAGCCUGAGGGCUCCAUUAACGUAGUGCUGGACUACUGGCUCACAGUAACAGCUGCUAGGAGAUUACAUCUAAGCCAGCAUCUGAAAUUCAGUCCUACAGUUACAUGAUUUUUCACUCUUUAACAGCUACAAGCCAGAAUGGAUGCCAAACAAACAAAAUUCAUAUAAUCCAAGAUCUGCAUGCUUCAGCUUUGAGCAGAACAAACAUUCCAGUCUUGGCAUAGGUGGGCAGGCCAAGUCAAAACUCAUGAUAUCCUGAUUUGGUAAGAACUAGGAACUCAUGAUACAUCCAAACAAUCAUAACUGUGAUAAAAUGGCAAUGAAAAGGCCCAUUGGCAGAAUGAAAGUUGCGAGGAAUUGUGCUAGCACAGUUUGUUGAUGUGAAGCAAAACAUGGUGCUUACCAAUCAGUUCACUAUUCAACCUGUCCAUAAGAGAAGAAAACAUGCAUAACACAGUAGCAUAUAGCAACUAGAUGUGGAGCUCCAGUAGUUCAUACAUUUUCUUCGACAUAAGCAAAACUUCUGAUGACUUUGCAAUCAGUAUAUGUUUACACUCAUGUAGGACCUAGCAAACACCAAGAUGACACAAAAUUGAAGAUUACUACUAAAAAAUAUGAAGGUGGCAAAAUUGAAGAGCAGCUGCCUAAUUGAUACCCAAGAAUUCCAUUCCAAUUCAACUAUAGCCCCGCCUCAGCUGCCCGCCGUGGCGUGCUCUUCCGACGGCUCCCUGACUGCCGGAACCCAUUGGACCUGGUGGACUCAUCAUUGCUAGAUCGAGUGCUCGAGCUGUUCUCCUCCAUGUCAAGAUUUGAACCAUCUUCUUCUUCCUUGGGCACCCUGUUCCUCUUGUUGCUACCAACUCCUGCAGAAGCAUGCUCUGUUCUUGAACCCUUAAGUUUGGCACCAUCCCCUGCUCCCACCACAUAGUCCUCAUCGCCAUCAUCGGCCUCCAACUUUUUCACCUCCGCUUCAAUGAUCUUCUCAGCGGCGACACGCUUCUGGGGCCGCCCCCUCCUCUUCCUUGCUGGCACGACGACCUCCUCACCGCUGCUCCCCUUGUCCUCAUGGUUCCUGCCAUUGCUGAGCUGCUUCCUCCCUCUGCCUCUCCCCCUACCCAUUGAUUCAAUUCAGCAGAGGUUGCAGAUGUGUGUACCAGGCAACAGCUGAAGCUACAAGCUUUGAAGAAGAUAUCUAGAUGCGGCCUAUUCUUUUUAUCUUGUUGCUUCCUUUUUGGAACAAAAUAUCUCACUGGUAAGAACCUUUGCUCUAGGACAGUGCAGCCAAUACAAUCUAAAAAUCUGCACGAGAAAUAUCGAUGAACCUACUGUAAAACCCAACUAGAAAAGGAUUGAAUAUUCAAGAAUGGAUGAUAGAUUAAUCACAGAGCUGUACUUAGAUCCAUAUCAAUAAGCUCAAGAAACAAAUAUCCGAAAUAAAUCUCUAACCUCAGAUGGGAAUGCAUCAAUACAAUCCAGAAAUGUUAAGAACAGAUUAGAGCGGAACCACUCAAGUGGUUUAAUAAGCAAUAGAGGAGAUAGAAAGAAGCUGACCUUGCAUCAAAUUAGUAUGCCUCGAAGAAACAUCCUGCUGCAAAACCCAUUUCCCAAGCUCCAGCGGUCAAAAGAUGGGAUUUUUUUUGCUAGCACCGAAGGGGAAAAGGUGCCUGAGAUAGAUUGGCACUGAUCUUGGAUUGAGAUUGAGACACCGGGAGACCCACCACAGAUCAAGAAGCAGAAGCCAUAGACAAAGGUUGGUGCUGUUUGGGGAAAGCAGGAAGAUUCUUGAACCAGCAGGCGGGUGGUACUAGGCUACCAGUGGUGCUGUUGGUAACUGGGGUAUGGAGGGAGACUAUGGAGCCUUGGUGCUUGAGCUCUAACAGUAGCCGUGAGCUCCCCUGCGGGACAGCAGCCGCAGGACACUGUACACACCACGCGAUGAGAGAGAAGGAGAGGCCUGCGCUUGCUUGCUGGAGUUGCUUUUUUGUGGAGCUGUCACUCGGUUGCUCAGUUUUGCGCUUUGUUUACCAACCGUUGAAAACGAGUGAGCUGCACUCCACUCCCCCACUGGGGGCUGCUGCAGUAGCCCCUGACAGAUGCCGAUUUAUAUAUAUAUAUUAUAUAUAAUUACGGUGGCCUCGACUUUAAUUACUAGUGCCCGCGUAGUGACAAGGUCACUUGUAAUCUUUUUCUCGUGCUCUCGGGGACAUCGAAAGGUGAGAGAAGGGGCAGCAAGGAUCCCAAGACUGACAGCCAGGGAACAACGAAACCAGGGGCUAGUAAUGACACCUGCUGCUGCCAAGAUCCAUCAGCAUGUUUCAUAGGCCGCAAAGGCUGGUUGUUUCAACUCUUUGUCAUUAUUCUUUUUUUUUUCGAGGAAAACACUUGGUUAAUAGGUCUAUACAAAUUCCAAUUUCAAACUCUCUAUUGAAUGUGUUCGUUUGUUUGUUGAUGGGCGUGUUCCUGAAUCAAAAUAAGUGCUUUCAGAUGUUCUUACAUGUGUUGUCGAAGCUGAUCCAAUCGCCAUAAUGUUAUUGUUUAAGGUCUCUAAACUUGAUUUGAACAUUUUCCAUAGUAACAGCAAAAUCAGAGGAUGUUCUAUAGAAAUAGCACGUCUAUAUUAGUCAAUUACUGCACUUAUAAAAAGUUAUACUUCUGGAAUAGAUGGCAUCGAUAUGCAGCUUUGGUCAUUACUCUUUCCGUUUCAAAUUGUAGGUCGUUUUAGCUUUUUUAGGUUCAUAGAUAUUAUUAUGCAUCUAGAUAUUAUUAUGCAUCUAGACAUGUAUCUAGUGCGUAAUAAUAUCUAUGAACUUAGAAAAGCAAAAACGACCUACAAUUAGGAACGGAGGGAUUAGCUUUUUUUUAAGACAUAAUGAUCUGAAAGUUAUUACAACGAAAAAUCUGGCAACAGAUUAUGUCGCUAAUACUGCACAUCAAUGGAAAAAUUGUAGUACUAUGAAACUUUCAUAUACAACAAAAUAAAUGUAUGAAUUAAAUUUACAAUUAAGCCUUAGUGUGUUAGAAAGAAAAGAAUAACCUUGGACAUUGACAUAGUUUUCGAAGCACAACAUUGACUAAAGAUUUAGUGUAUUUCAAUACAUUGUUGGCAGUACAUUAUCGACUGUACAUAUAUGUAAAAACUCAAUGUAGAAGGCAAUUCGUUACUACAUUCCUUCUUGAUAUUUGUUUGGUUCACAUGCACAUACGGCAUCAUAUAGUGAGAAUUGUAUGGAAUUUACACACAUUCGAUAGAUCAAUAGUACAUCAAUUUAAUAUGUGCAUGGAUAAUAUAAUAACUUAUUACUACUUUAGUUCGCAAUUGUGUUUCCUUAGAGCAACUCCAAUAGCAUGACUAUUUUUAUCUCUCCAUUUGACUCUCUAGCCACUUAUCAAAAGGAUUUCUCUCCAUAAUGAGGGAUCGUUUGGGAGGGUUUCUUCCAAAACAACUUUACUGAUGAAGCCAAAGUCGAUGAAGCCAAAAAAGCUGGCUUCACCAGCCCCCGCUUACAAAAUAGCUUGAAGCUAUAGUACCUCGAUUUGCGUAAAACAAGUGAAGUCGAAACCAAAAUAAGCCAUGUCAAACAUGGGCUAAAUUGUACAAACAGAGAAUCCAUUUCCUACUUUCUAAAUUCUAACCCUAAAAAUUUACACUUUCUACAUUCUCCAUCUACUCCAACAACCUCUCCAUUUUGCGCUACAACAGACUCUCCAUUUUGCCAUUAUUUUGCGUAGGAUCCACAUUUGAUAAGCCAAAUUCGCUUGCCAAUUUGGAGAGCGUGAGGGAGCAUUUGGCAAGCUGGAAUGGUUGGUCAUCCGGUUAGCAACUUUGUUGGAUCUAGUAGACUUACUAAAUUUUAACUUUGGGGACGGAGAUGGCCAUGUUGGAAUUGCUCGUAGAUAUUCGGACCAAAACAUAUAGUCAAACGUAGGUAAAAUCAAAGUUUAAUUAGCCUAAGUCCUAAGAUACUUUUUCCCAGAGUUAUGUAAUUAGCUUGACUAUAUGCUUACCGAAGUUACAAUCCUUAAUUUCUGACUCGCGGAUAGUAAACAAUGUACUCGUGAGGGAAACUUUUGGAAAGACCGGUUUUGCACGUGGUCCUGCACAAUCCCCAGACCACAAUUUUAUGACAGAGUGAGCGCAUUCAUAGCAAGAGUAAAGGCUCCCGCAUUAUUGUGAAAAAUUUAAAUCAUAUCAGCAAGGACAGAGUUGACAAGUUCCAGUGUCCUCCAUUAUUUUAGAUUUGGAUGUUUCAUCUUAGUCUGCAUUGUUUUUUUUUUCUCAUUUUGUUUUCUUGAAAUUCUGGUGACUCCGAGAUGGAGUGGGCCUGGUAGCUUUAACUACCACCGAAGAUGAGUUUUUCAAAGUUGGCGUGAGGAGACGGCAUAUGAUAGAAAGAACAUGGCCGGUUUGGGCCCAUGUACGGGGCGAGCCCAGCGCAUCUGUGAGCUUGCUUAAAUGUGUGGCGAAGACGAGCACGGCCCUGUCCCAAAAUACACAGAGCCAAAGCUGCUCAUUGCAGUUGCAGAUUGUCAUAUUGGUGGUGCUUAAGCUUAACGAUCGUAUUCCUAUUCGAAGGACCUACAUCCAAUGAGGCCCAAACUGCAAUCGAACCACCAAAACCCGUAGAAGGAUGGAUGCACAGUGGUUGCAGAUUUGCAAUACAACUAAACAAUUUGCAACCUCUGUUCCUGCUGGCGGACAAAUGGCACAACGCCAUGUAACACACUGUGCUUCCGCACCGUGUACCUUUGGAGAGAGGUAUCCACCAUUCCACCUCACCAGUUUGACCUCAGUAAUGCACCCAAGCGUGCAAGUUCCCUGAUCAGGAACUCUUGGUUAAGACUCAAGGAGAAAAAUAUCCUGCUUGAACACAUUUUUCUGUCAGAAAAAGGGCUCCCAAACCUUAUAAACACAAGUUGUUUUACCCCCACGUGCUUAAGUUCAUCCAAAGUAAUAUAAUGUUGACCCAAACAAAUAUUGUGUCAACACCCAACCUUGGGAAUAGCGUUGCUCCUUUACUAAUUUAGGGCCUUAUUUUUUCGUAUAACAUGUUUGCCAGAUGCCUACGAUAAUUUUUCCCUCAACCUCUUUUUUUUUUACAUGCAUAGCAUGUUUUUCUUCUUAGAAGAGAAUACACGAUGUAACUUCAGGAGAAAUCUAAAAUGCAGAGUUACAAGAGCCACGAUCAACAAUAAACAACAUAAACACCACAACAGAGAAGAAAACCACCUCACCAUCACCACACUAAAUACAACCUAAGACGACUGAUGCAUGCAAGAGAGAAAGAUACCAUGAACACACACACAUUAUCGCUUGCCUAACAACCCAGAGUCAUCGGAAGAAGAGUGAGGAGGUCAUGCAAGACGAUGCCUUCAAGAAGAAAGCAACGCCAACGCCAGCAUCGUCCGUCUGUCCACGGAUGAGCAGACCAAGUCUUUACUUGGCAAAACCAAAUGGAUUUGACGGUCGCAACAACGCCCCCAGGGAGGUGAGCUACGUUGAAAAGCGCAACUGUUGUCAGCACCGACAAAUGCCAGGCAAGGCUUUUGCUAAAGGCCCUAGAACCAACUCCACACAACCGACCGCCAAGGCCUAGAUGAGAGCCAAAGCGAUGGGAUGGCACCGAGCUAUCCACAACGACGAUGAUAAGGAACAUCCGCAGGCACAGUAGAGAGGGACCGCUAUCACGACGACCAAAAAACGACCAAGGAGCGACCAAGCGACCGAAGGGGGAACAGGCGGGCAUGCUAGAGGGGCUCACGCCAGCGAGAAGAAGCGAUCUGACCUUGGUGUGUUGGGGUAUGGGUGUGGUGGGGGUGAGGAGGGGAGGAGCGCGACCAGGGGAGGAGAAGGGGGAGGUGCGCGCGAGCCCCGUAGUAGCACGCGGCCGCUGCAUACUCCACUGCCACUAGCGAGGGCUGCUUCACCCACGCACGCCCGAAGCAGACGCCGCCGACGCCACAAGCUGCCACGCCCCUGCACGCGAUCGCAGCAGCCCGCCGCAGCCCGCCGCCACCAUCACCUGAUCGAUCUUCGGAGAUUCCUUUUCGCUCACCGUCGCCUGCGGAUCCGGUGGUGGUAGUCGUAGAUCCGGCCACCACGGGGUGGCUGUGGGGCUGCCAAAGCUAGCCUCAGGUGAGGUACCCGCUGCAGCCACCAGGGAUGAAGAUGGGAGGAUCAGGGAGGAAGGAACGAAAUGCAGGUGCACCCAUGAACGAAGGUGCGACGAGCCAAGCUCUAGCACCUUCUGCGACCGGUUGACGCCGGAGGCAGGGGAGGCAACGGCAGCGCGUAGGGGCAAUGACCUAGGCUAGUGAGACCAGGCUAGGCGCCGGCGCAGCCGAGCCGCGCCGCAGCCUGCUAGUGUCGGGGCGAAGGUGGUGGUGCCGGGUGUGGAGGUGGGGGCGGACCGACCCGCGGUGGCGGCGGGGGCGAUGGCGACACGAGCACCCUGGCGGCCUCGAGGUGAUGGCCAGGCGAAGCACAGGUGGAUCCGAAGCAGGGGAGGUCGGAUCCGGCGUGUGGUGGCCGGAGACCACCCUCACCAGCGACGAGCAACAACCCCAUGACCAUGGUGACCUUGAAGGGGAGAGGAGGAGGAAAGGAAGGAAGGGAGGGAGAGGGCGUGCGGGGCUUACUUCGAUCCCGCCACGGGCCGCCGUCCGCCGGCCCGCCGGUGGUGGCGGCCACCGACGCUAGGGUUUGGGGGUGGCGGCGAGCGCCCCCGAGUCGCCAAGGAAGGCGAAAAUUCUCUCAACUUCACUGGGGUUAGUUGAUUGAGGUAAUAUAAAAUUCCGCCACAACUUUUUAAUAAAAUUUUGUUAAAAAUCAUUACAAUAUGGAAGAAGGAGAUGGUCAAUCCAAUGACGUCAUUUUCACCUAAACAACUCAAAACAGUUGUUUCUUAAUGGUCAAAACUAGAUACAUAUGAACCGCAGAACCGGUAAAUAAUAAAUAAAUGUUUAUGAUUUCAAGAACUUCAGUUCCAGUUAAGGUGUUUUCAAUUUUGGCUAUCAAGGAUAUGGUUCCUCAUCAUAGUUGCUGUCAAAUGUACGAGACCUAGCGUGUGCUGUCCUUGUAAUAAUUUCUUUAUUUCUUAGGGAUAGCAAUAUAUGAGUGUAAUUCUUCGCCAUUUCUAAUACGAUUCUAGACCUAUUUGCUAAAGAAAUACAACGACUAGAGCAAAAUUUACAACCAGGGGAGAAAUAGAAUAUCUGCCCCCCCCCCCCCCCCCCCCCCCCCUUCACCUUUUGGAUUGGUGGAUAAAAAGUUUCAUCGAGUUCUGUAGAUAUUCCACUCACUCAACCAGCAAAGCCACACAUGUGGACUGCAGCUCACGGCCCUGAGCCCAUUGCAAGCAUGAUGCCUCACCUCUUCCGGGAGGGGGGCCAUGCCACGUCGGCCGGCCAAAGAUACCCCGAUCCUACGUGGCCCAAUGACGCUCGGGCGCACAGAUAUUGCGCCCAAUGGCGGGCGGCAUUUGGAUAUCCCCAUCCCGCUCCGUCUCCUCUCCGGCCGCUCGUGCUCGUGCUCGUGCUCUUAAUAGCAGCCGCAGAUUCUGCUCCGCUCUCAAACGCCACUUGUCCUCCCUCCCUCCUCUCGUCUCCCCGUCACCUCAGGAUCAGCAAGCGGCAAUGGUGAUGGCGUCGUCGAGCGGGCUCCGGAGCUGCAGCGCCGUGGGCGUGCCCAGCCUGCUGGCGCCGUCGUCCCGCUCCGGCCGGCUGCCGUUCUGCGCCAACGCCACCACCUCCGGCCGCGUCACCAUGUCCGCCGAGUGGAUGCCCGGCCAGCCCCGCCCCGCCCACCUCGACGGCUCCUCUCCUGGGUAAUACUCACGGCCAAUCACCACGACGACGCCGGCGUCGAGGCUGAUGAACUGACGAGUGAUGACUGACGAUGCUUGUGUCUGUUUUCCAGGGACUUCGGCUUCGACCCCCUGGGCCUCGCCACCGUUCCGGAGAACUUCGAGCGGUUCAAGGAGUCCGAGGUCUACCACUGCCGCUGGGCCAUGCUCGCCGUGGUACGCCGCUGUGCUGCCUCUCUGAUUACUUACGAUCAUGUCAUGAACUAUGGCAUGGACCUGACAGAUGAGCUUUGCAAUUGUGUGGCAUGCAGCCCGGGAUCUUGGUGCCUGAGGCGCUGGGCCUUGGCAACUGGGUGAAGGCGCAGGAGUGGGCGGCCGUCCCCGGCGGGCAGGCCACAUACCUGGGCAACCCGGUGCCGUGGGGCACGCUGCCCACCAUCCUGGUGAUCGAAUUCGUGGCCAUCGCCUUCGCCGAGCACCAGCGCACCAUGGAGAAGGACCCCGAGAAGAAGAAGUACCCCGGCGGCGCCUUCGACCCGCUCGGCUUCUCCAAGGACCCCGUCAAGUUCGAGGAGUACAAGCUCAAGGAGAUCAAGAACGGUGAGUCUCCUGGUUUUGUGUACUAUAUGAUCUCGUUGUUGUAGUGACAGCCUCCCACUCCAUUGAUCAUACGCUAACCACUGGGCAUCGUCUAAACGAUUGUGCAUGAUGAUGAGCAGGCCGGCUUGCGAUGUUGGCGUUCGUGGGGUUCUGCGUGCAGCAGUCGGCGUACCCCGGCACCGGGCCGCUGGAGAACCUGGCUACCCACCUCGCCGACCCGUGGCACAACAACAUCGGCGACAUCAUCAUCCCCAGAACGAUCUACCCUUGAGCUGAGAUGAUUGUGAGAGAAGAGGAUGAGACGAGACAGGAGAUGGGGCUGUGCUGGGAGUGUGGAUGAUGUUCUAUGUGUGUGAUUGGUUGGUUACUGGGCACUGCCUGCGUGCGUGCAGGAACUGUACAACGAACAACGACGGCGACUUUCCGGCCGGCCGGGAACCCCUUAUAAUGUAAAGCUUAUUAUUAUUAAGUAGCGGCUACCCUUA